rnacentral:rRNA from 1 species
GCGGCAUGCUUAACACAUGCAAGUCGCACGAACCUUUCGGGGUUAGUGGCGGACGGGUGAGUAACGCGUAUGGAUCUGUCCAUGGGUGGGGGAUAACUUUGGGAAACUGAAGCUAAUACCGCAUGACACCUGAGGGUCAAAGGCGCAAGUCGCCUGUGGAGGAACCUGCGUUCGAUUAGCUAGUUGGUGGGGUAAAGGCCUACCAAGGCGAUGAUCGAUAGCUGGUCUGAGAGGAUGAUCAGCCACACUGGGACUGACACACCGCCCACACUCCUACGGGAGGCAGCAGUGGGGAAUAUUGGACAAUGGGCGCAAGCCUGAUCCAGCAAUGCCGCGUGUGUGAAGAAGGUUUUCGGAUUGUAAAGCACUUUCAGCGGGGACGAUGAUGACGGUACCCGCAAAAGACCCCCCGGCUAACUUCGUGCCAGCAGCCGCGGUAAUACGAAGGGGGCAAGCGUUGCUCGGAAUGACUGGGCGUAGAGGGCGCGUAGGCGGUUUUAACAGUCAGAUGUGAAAUUCCUGGGCUUAACCUGGGGGCUGCAUUUGAUACGUUGAGACUAGAGUGUGAGAGAGGGUUGUGGAAUUCCCAGUGUAGAGGUGAAAUUCGUAGAUAUUGGGAAGAACACCGGUGGCGAAGGCGGCAACCUGGCUCAUUACU